rnacentral:rRNA from 1 species
UACGUAGGGGGCAAGCGUUGUCCGGAAUCAUUGGGCGUAAAGAGCUCGUAGGCGGUUUGUUGCGUCGGCUGUGAAAUCCCGAGGCUCAACCUCGGGUCUGCAGUCGAUACGAGCAAACUAGAGUGUUGCAGGGGAGACUGGAAUUCCUGGUGUAGCGGUGAAAUGCGCAGAUAUUAGGAAGAACACCAGUGGCGAAGGCGGCUCACUGGUCCGGUACUGGACGCUG